CGGUGCGAAUCUCUCUCAUCUGAGCCCCCUGGCGGCGCCGCCCGCCGGCAGACACGGCCCGGGCAGCACCAGGCCCCGACGCCCUCCAGGAACCGCCAGGCUCUCUCCCGACCUUCCCAACCUUCCAGAAAGCCUGGUCCGCAGAAGCCCUGCCUGGUCCAGCUCCGCGGGCGGCCAGGCCAACUGCAAGAUUCUGGACUGUUUUGGUAGCAUCCAAAGACGAUCUCAGAGCACUUUGAACCUCUCUGUUGGGUUUUCUUUUUGUUCCCCACCCUUCACUUGCUUCACUGUUGUUUUUUUUUUUUUUUUUUUUAAGUUUGUUUUGGAAAUAACAAAAAAGAUAUUUAUUGGCCAGGAAGUUGGUGCUGCUAAGACCGAGAAAUUAAAAGAAUCGGACAGAUGGACGCAGAGAACCACAGGGCAGCGUGGGACCUUCUCUUGCCGUGGCCUCAGGUCUCGAGGGAAGGCUCAGGCCUGGGUUUCUGGACUGCAGAGGGGACCCCGAGGUGAGAGGGGGUAGGAGGUCGCCGGAGCGCGCCCUUCGCCCCUGGGUGCCCCGCUGGUACCUCUCGAGCUGUGCCCUACAUCGCUGAGCAGAGGGAUGCGGCAGCCGCCAGGGCUGUCCAGGCUUCAGGAGGCGGAAACGAGAGAGGGGCCGGGAGAUCCGCAGGACCAAAGGGUGCAGUGAUGGGCUGGGUGGCGGGCCCAGGGAAAUGGGGUAGGGGUGGGCCGGGUAAGACCUGGCCCUCCCUCGCUGCCCUGAAGACCACCCCAGUCUACCUCGGUGCUGGCCAGGAAACCUAUAGGCUACCUCUCCCGCCAUCCCAGACUGUGGGCAGGGGGAUGGGGAGGGAGCGGGCCUGGGGCUGGGACCCCGCUCCAGAAUUUCCUCCAGAUGGGGGCAGUGUCCAGGGAGGGGUCAUUUGUCUUCCCUGCCAUGGAGGGGGAAUCCCCAGCCCAGGCCCUAGGCCCCUCAGCAGGGAAGGGAUCCUCGGGGAGGCGGGUCCCAGGAGCAGACCCUGUCCCCAGCCCCCACGGCACACCCCAAUCUGAAAGCCAUGCGUGUCCGUGUAUAUAGGAACCAUGUACAGAGCCCGGAGAAGCCCCCCACGUCCCCCCGGGAAAAAAAGAAAACUAGACAGAAACUCAUCUAUAUAUUCUGUAUCUGGAGUUCCGUUUUGAAUAUUAACUGUGUUAUUUUUAUACACUUUUUAAGCCUUAACUCGCCAUUGAUUUACCAGUUUAACGUUUCCUGGGGUUUCUUUUCCCAUGGGGUUCUCUGGCCCCACCCCCACCCCUUUGUUUGACUUGCGUCGUCUGAUAAACUCAGUAUUGUAGCUUUUUGUCCGCAUGUUACUACCCUGUAAAUACGCUGUUAUACAUACUGUUAACACCCCUUUGCUUUUUUCUAUGGGACCUCCAGGCCACCAUAUUUAGAACUAGUUACCUUAUUAAAAAAGAGAAAACAGUCUGUUGGCUUCUCAGUCUGCAUCUUGGUGGCAGGGAGGUGAGGGCAGGUGCCCCUCAGACACUUCAGGAAAGAAGUUUGCAUUCUAUUUAAAAAAGGGGGUGGGGAGCAAAAUAAUCAAAUGUGGGGGAAAAACACUAAAGGGGGCAAGAAACAAAGGAAUUACAAACCCUCUGCUCUUUGUAUUGCUCUGUUGUGAAGAAUAAACUGUACCUGCACCCGG